rnacentral:lncRNA from 1 species
GAAGGAAGGAAGGAAGGAAGGAAGGAAGGAAGGAAGGAAGGAAGGAAGGAAGGGUGGGUUUAUUUUGGCUCGGGGCUCUGGCAGGGAAGGCGUGGCUACAGGCGCGAGUGCAUGUGUGUGUGUAUGUGUGUGUGUCUGUGUGUGUGUCUGUGUGUGUGUGUGUGCGUGUGGCAGUUGGUGAAGCUGCACCUACAGUCAGGAAACCGAGAGGAGAAACAAGGGCUCGCUCAGUUGCUGCUCACCUUCUGAGUCACUCCAGAGCCCCAGUCAUGGAACGAUGCCAGCCACAUCCCAGGAAGGAGACGGUAGCACCAAGGCAGGCACAAUCUUCAGAAGAUAGGUUUGAUGGACACCUGCUAACAGUUUCUUAUCAUCUUUGCACAACUAUCCAUCCCAACUGCCAGAGGACAAAACAGGGCCUGGACUGGAAUUCUUGAAUAAGGGGGGAUGGGGAAAGAAAUAAAAAGCAAAAGAAAGGACAUGACUGUGCCUAGGUAUGGAGAAAGAGAAAGUUUAUUGUAGAUAUGAGAAAGAACAUAGCCAGAGACAGAAACAUCUGGGAGAAUCCAGAGUGCUCAUGAUCCUGAGCCCUGUAGAGAAAUGGGGAGGGAAGGGAGAGAGGGGAG